rnacentral:rRNA from 2 species
GAACGCUGGCGGCGUGCUUAACACAUGCAAGUCGAACGGUAAGGCCCCUUCGGGGGUACACGAGUGGCGAACGGGUGAGUAACACGUGGGUGAUCUGCCCUGCACUCUGGGAUAAGCCUGGGAAACUGGGUCUAAUACCGGAUAUGAGCUCCUGUCGCAUGGCGGGGGUUGGAAAGGUUUACUGGUGCAGGAUGGGCCCGCGGCCUAUCAGCUUGUUGGUGGGGUAAUGGCCUACCAAGGCGACGACGGGUAGCCGGCCUGAGAGGGCGACCGGCCACACUGGGACUGAGACACGGCCCAGACUCCUACGGGAGGCAGCAGUGGGGAAUAUUGCACAAUGGGCGAAAGCCUGAUGCAGCGACGCCGCGUGAGGGAUGACGGCCUUCGGGUUGUAAACCUCUUUCAGCAGGGACGAAGCGAGAGUGACGGUACCUGCAGAAGAAGCACCGGCCAACUACGUGCCAGCAGCCGCGGUAAUACGUAGGGUGCGAGCGUUGUCCGGAAUUACUGGGCGUAAAGAGCUCGUAGGCGGUUUGUCGCGUCGUCCGUGAAAACUUGGGGCUCAACCCCAAGCUUGCGGGCGAUACGGGCAGACUUGAGUACUGCAGGGGAGACUGGAAUUCCUGGUGUAGCGGUGAAAUGCGCAGAUAUCAGGAGGAACACCGGUGGCGAAGGCGGGUCUCUGGGCAGUAACUGACGCUGAGGAGCGAAAGCGUGGGUAGCGAACAGGAUUAGAUACCCUGGUAGUCCACGCCGUAAA